CUGUCCUCUUCUGAUGGAGAAUUUUCCUCACUAGCCAUGAGCCUUACUUUUCUCUCUAAAAACAUUGGCUGACAUCCUAACUAUCAAAAGUGAGGACACACUGAGACACUGUGUCUUCGCUGCUACAGGCUUUCCUACUCAAGCAUCAUGCACAGGGGGAGGUGCUCUUAAAUGGGCUGGAGGCUUCCCUACUACCACAGCUAGUAUGUACGGACACACACGCUACUCUGUGCCUUCCAAAAAUAAGUUCCUGAGGGUCUUGCGGUCCUCGGGGACAUAUUUUUUGAGGGCACGGAGCAUCUCCAGAGGCAGGAAAGAUCAGUGAAAUCACUCCCCCUGCCCACAGGUGCUACAGGAUAGGGAAGUCUCCAGAUGAAUUAAGAACACCUUCUCUGUGUCCUCUAUCACUUCAUUAGGAUGUCAGCCACCAUCUCUCACAGGCUAGGUCUCCAUGAGCUUGUGUGUGUGUGUGUAAUUUUAGGAUUUAUCAGUUGCCUUUGCAGGGGACCCUGCCAAAGGCAUCAUACUGUAUUUACCUGGAUAGAAGACAUCUCUAAAUUUAAGACAACCCCCUUAAAAAUAGAGGUUAAACUUAGGUUAUUCCUGUAUUUACCCAAAAGGAAGAGGAUUCUGAAUUUAAGACAACCCCCUGAUUUCGUAUGUCAAAGAACAGGGUGGGGAGACUAGUCUUGGAUUCAGGUACAGUGCAAUAAAAAUAUUAUGGUAUAUAUGCAAUAGAACACAUUCAAAACACAACGAUCAGUAAAACAAGUAUCAGCAUUCAACAAGUAGCAACUGUUUUUGCUUACAGCACAAAAUGUUGUAGCAUCUAGUUCUUAAAGUAAUGCUUUCAUCGGCUGCUUAAAUACAGUAAGAGAAAUGCUCAGGCAAAUCUCACUUGGGGGAGAAUUCCAGAGGGUUAGUUCCAUGACAGAGAAGACCUUGGUCUUUGUCCCCAUGAGUGAAACAUAAUGGACUUAAUGAGACAAAGAACCAAGCAUUACCUGCAGAUUAAACAAACAAACAAACAGAGGAGUUCUUAUGGUUGCUAUGAACAUGUGUCCAAUGAAAUGAAACCAUGUUCAGUGUGUGUCAAAAGUACUACAUGUGGCUGAUACAGUUUCAGACAAUGGCUGAAUUUUUUGUGCUCGUUUUUGGCUUUAAAAGAUACCAAAAUUCUUCUGGAGGGAGGGGAUGAGGGGGUAGUUGAUAUAUUACGAUAAUGGCCUUCUGCCCACUAAGACUUAAUAAUGGAUAAGGCAGAGUGGGAUCAAUUCAUUUAUUUCAGAGUCAACUAUCUGCCAUUCGAAAUGAGCUUUAAAACAAAUAAAGUGGAGUAUUGAUGCAGUUAACCCAAGCGUAGCUAUGUUCACUGAUGUGAAUCCUUUCCAAUCCAUUUACAUAAGCAUUCUCCUUUAUGCAGCAUCUUUUCUGUGAACUUGCCAAUUCUCACUGAACUGUGGGGGAAAGCACUCUUUCCCUUCCACACUCCCUCGGCAAUGCUCCGAAGGUUCCAUUUCAUUUCCAGUUUGCAGAGAACAGAUCUAUAACGGAAGCCAUUUAGGAAGCCUUCAGUUGUUCCGUCUGCUAUACUGAAGUGUCUCUCUUCUCCGAUGCUUGUUAAAGAAGAUUUAACAUAAUGAGUGGCAGCAUGCUCGUUAAAAUGGAGGGUGAUUGGAGGAUUUAAGACAAAUGAGCAGAAAAGUUUCCAGCCAUUCAUGCUGCAGUCAGAAAUACUGUUCAACAAAUCCCCACAGGGACCCAAAGAGUUGGAUGCGUUAUUAAUGAGUGUGUGUGGUUGGUGCAAAAUGAGUCAAGCCGAGCUGCGGCACAUUCUUGGAUGCUUAAAUGUCUCGUUAUAGCAUGUGUCAAUAUGGCAAGGUUAUAACUACCAGGCACACAGAGACAAUGACAAUGACAGUAAAGAUGUUCACAACAGCAGUCGUGGUGGCAAUCUAAAUAUUUAAUAUGCAGGAUGCUUGCUUUCUAACACUUAACAUGAAAUAUUAUCACAGCAGCAUUUCACUGCGUUCUAACAAUGUGUUUCUUUGCAUGAAGCUCUGUAUGGGGGAGAGGAUUGCCCAUUCCGUUUUAAAUUGGAAUUGCAUCUGAAGGUUUCCAGAAUCAACAAUGACUCCACAUCAAAAGUCAAGCUAUUAUGUGCCAGCAUGCCAAGAAAAAUACACUGCUGAACCAGGCUACAAUGGUCAACUUGCAACAUGUGAGCUGGGCAGGGACUGUGGUACACCUGGCUAAGAGCCGAAGGGCCUGUGCAGGCGCGUAACAACGAUCGGGCAAGGGGAGACAGUUGUCUGGGGGCCCCACUGCCUGGAGGGGCCCCCCAGAGGCACCUCACGUGACUCCCCAUUGCCCCCUGCCCAGCCCCAAGGCUCCUCAGCCACUUGCCCUGUUCGCCGUCUCCCCAGCUUGUUCUCCUGGCCGGCAAUGGAGCAGCAAACACGCUGCAAAGAACUCCUUUUCUCCCGCCUCUCAGCUGAUCGGCGGGUGGGCGGGGCUUCCACGGAGGUCUGGUGUAGGCCUCUGUGAAUCCUGAACUCCAGUAGGGCCCAAGCAAGCCAGGAAGGAGGAGGUAGCCAGAGAGGCCUCCACUGUUCUCUGCAGCAGAAGACCCCCUGCUGCCAGAAGUACUAUCCAUGCAACAACAACAAAAAUCAGCAAGUCUAAACAAGCCCUGAAAUAUGCUGAAUAUGGAUAGAAUAUGCAGGAAUAUGCAGUUAAUGUCCAAAGGAAGAGAACACAGGAUCCUGGAACUAAAUAGCAGCAGUCUACUAAGAUGAUGUCAUCAAGAAAGGUUAGGAUUCUUGGACCAUGGCCUGCACCACCUAUGUUAAGAUGCAUCUCACAAAGACUAGGAGGAACAACAUUCCUGAUAUGAUUUUUAUGGCUGUGGAAAGGCAACGUGGCUUUGGAAUCUCUAUGGGUACUUCAACAAAUUGCCAUUCUGCAAAAGUGGAAUCUACAGCUUUUAGGAAUCCUGUUCAGACAAAACAUAGUGUUCAGACAAAAUAUUCCUUUUUGUAUUAAGAAACCCUUGAAAUAUAAGCGGCUGACAAAAUGUAUUAUAUUGACUGACAUCCAGACUAACAAAGCACUGGCAUGCCGGGAGAAACACUGGUGCUUCUGAAAAGUUUAACUCAUCUCUACUGCUGGCUUAGCAGUAGGAACAAAUUUUAAUGACCAGGAAAUGCUCUGUGCAGCCCAAACAUAUGCCUCUGAGCGUCUUGUAGCCCUGAGGGACAUAUUUUGAGGUGACACAGAGGGCUUCUGGAAGAAAGAAAUUGAAAUCCCUUCCCAAACACACUAGCACUGGUGCAGAAUUAGUCUGGAACUCUUCAGAAGCACUGUUGCUACACUGAUGCCUCUCCUGUUGCUUCAGUGCUUCAUUAGUCAGAAUGCCAGCCAUUUAAAAAAAAUAUAUGGUGCAUUGCUUUAUAAUUUUCCGGUACCAUUUCUCAUUUCUGAAUGAUAAAGGAACUGUUCACACAGUCUGAAAAUACAUGUGAUGAUGCAGACAUUUACA